AUGAACGCUAGCGGCAGGCCUAAUACAUGCAAGUCGGACGGGAUUUGGUAGCUUGCUAUCAAUGAGAGUGGCGCACGGGUGCGUAACACGUAUGUAACCUACCUUUGUCAGGGGGAUAGCCUCUCGAAAGAGAGAUUAAGCCCGCAUAACAUUAAGACACAGCAUUGUGAUUUAAUCAAAUAUUUAUAGGACAAAGAUGGGCAUGCGGAACAUUAGCUAGUUGGUAAGGUAACGGCUUACCAAGGCUACGAUGUUUAGGGGAUCUGAGAGGAUGACCCCCCACACUGGUACUGAGACACGGACCAGACUCCUACGGGAGGCAGCAGUAAGGAAUAUUGGUCAAUGGGCGGAAGCCUGAACCAGCCAUGCCGCGUGCAGGAAGACGGCCCUACGGGUUGUAAACUGCUUUUAUACGGGAAUAAACCUCACUACGUGUAGUGAGCUGAAUGUACUGUAAGAAUAAGGAUCGGCUAACUCCGUGCCAGCAGCCGCGGUAAUACGGAGGAUCCAAGCGUUAUCCGGAUUUAUUGGGUUUAAAGGGUGCGUAGGCGGCCUGUUAAGUCAGGGGUGAAAGACGGUAGCUCAACUAUCGCAGUGCCCUUGAUACUGAUGGGCUUGAAUACACUAGAGGUAGGCGGAAUGUGACAAGUAGCGGUGAAAUGCAUAGAUAUGUCACAGAACACCAAUUGCGAAGGCAGCUUACUAUGGUGUCAUUGACGCUGAGGCACGAAAGCGUGGGGAUCAAACAGGAUUAGAUACCCUGGUAGUCCACGCCCUAAACGAUGAAUACUCGAUGUUGGCGAUAUACGGUCAGCGUCAAAGCGAAAGCGUUAAGUAUUCCACCUGGGGAGUACGCCCGCAAGGGUGAAACUCAAAGGAAUUGACGGGGGCCCGCACAAGCGGAGGAGCAUGUGGUUUAAUUCGAUGAUACGCGAGGAACCUUACCCGGGCUUGAAAGUUAGUGAAUGUGGCAGAGACGCCACAGUCCUUCGGGACACGAAACUAGGUGCUGCAUGGCUGUCGUCAGCUCGUGCCGUGAGGUGUUGGGUUAAGUCCCGCAACGAGCGCAACCCCUAUGUUUAGUUGCCAGCAUGUAAUGAUGGGGACUCUAAACAGACUGCCUACGCAAGUAGAGAGGAAGGAGGGGACGACGUCAAGUCAUCAUGGCCCUUACGUCCGGGGCUACACACGUGCUACAAUGGCCGGUACAGAGGGCAGCUACCUGGUAACAGGAUGCCAAUCUCAAAAAGCCGGUCACAGUUCGGAUCGGGGUCUGCAACUCGACCCCGUGAAGUUGGAUUCGCUAGUAAUCGCAGAUCAGCAAUGCUGCGGUGAAUACGUUCCCGGGCCUUGUACACACCGCCCGUCAAGCCAUGGAAGCUGGAAGUGCCUGAAGUGCGUAACCGCAAGGAGCGUCCUAGGGUAAAGUCGGUAACUG
rnacentral:rRNA from 1 species